rnacentral:rRNA from 1 species
GUGAGGAAUAUUGGACAAUGGCCGGAAGGCUGAUCCAGCCAUGCCGCGUGCGGGACGACGGCCCUAUGGGUUGUAAACCGCUUUUGCGGGGGAGCAAUAAGAGUCACGUGUGGCUCGAUGAGAGUACCCUGCGAAUAAGCAUCGGCUAACUCCGUGCCAGCAGCCGCGGUAAUACGGAGGAUGCAAGCGUUAUCCGGAUUUAUUGGGUUUAAAGGGUGCGCAGGCGGCUUGUUAAGCGGGAGGUGAAAUGCCGGCGCUCAACGUCGGAAGUGCCUCCCGAACUGGUGAGCUUGAAUGACUCUGCCGUGGGAGGAAUGUGUAGUGUAGCGGUGAAAUGCUUAGAGAUUACACAGAACACCGAUUGCGAAGGCAUCUCACGAAGGGUUGAUUGACGCUGAGGCACGAAAGCGUGGGGAUCAAACAGG